UGGGGAAUCUUGGACAAUGGGGGCAACCCUGAUCCAGCCAUGCCGCGUGAGUGAUGAAGGCCUUAGGGUCGUAAAGCUCUUUCGCCUGUGAAGAUAAUGACGGUAGCAGGUAAAGAAACCCCGGCUAACUCCGUGCCAGCAGCCGCGGUAAUACGAAGGGGGCAAGCGUUGUUCGGAAUUACUGGGCGUAAAGCGCACGUAGGCGGACCAGAAAGUUGGGGGUGAAAUCCCGGGGGCUCAACCCCGGAACUGCCUCCAAAACUAUUGGUCUAGAGUUCGAGAGAGGUGAGUGGAAUUCCAAGUGUAGAGGUGAAAUUCGUAGAUAUUUGGAGGAACACCAGUGGCGAAGGCGGCUCACUGGCUCGAUACUGACGCUGAGGUGCGAAAGUGUGGGGAGCAAACAGGAUUAGAUACCCUGGUAGUCCACACCGUAAAACGAUGAAUGCCAGUCGUCGGGUAGCAUGCUAUUCGGUGACACACCUAACGGAUUAAGCAUUCCGCCUGGGGAGUACGGUCGCAAGAUUAAAACUC
rnacentral:rRNA from 1 species